CACGCACUCCCUCCGUUCGGAAUUACUUGUCGUAGAAAUGGAUGUAUCUAGAUGUAUUUUAGUUCUAGAUACAUCCAUUUCCGAGACAAGUAAUUUCGAACGGAGGGAGUAGUUG
rfam:Triticum aestivum genome assembly, contig: Triticum_aestivum_CS42_TGACv1_scaffold_423212_5BS